rnacentral:rRNA from 1 species
CACAAGCGGUGGAGCAUGUGGUUUAAUUCGACGCAACGCGAAGAACCUUACCAGGGCUUGACAUCCCCUGACCGCGUAUGAAAGUACGUUUCACCUCGGGUGACAGGGUGACAGGUGGUGCAUGGUUGUCGUCAGCUCGUGUCGUGAGAUGUUGGGUUAAGUCCCGCAACGAGCGCAACCCUCGGCCUUAGUUGCCAGCAUUCAGUUGGGCACUCUAAGGUGACUGCCGGCUAAAAGUCGGAGGAAGUGGGGAUGACGUCAAAUCAUCAUGCCCCUUAUGACCUGGGCUACACACGUGCUACAAUGGGCGGUACAAAGGGUCGCGAACCCGCGAGGGGGAGCCAAUCCCAAAAAGCCGCUCUCAGUUCGGAUUGCAGGCUGCAACUCGCCUGCAUGAAGCCGGAAUCGCUAGUAAUCGCGGAUCAGCAUGCCGCGGUGAAUACGUUCCCGGGCCUU